UCCAACCCUGCUCACCUCUCAGCUGGACAGUGAGGGACGUUUACACCACACACUGACAACAUGCUGGGGACCCUCUGCACUCUCAUCACUGCUCUGACAUAUGUUGAUGCAGUGAUAGUGGUGACCCAGACGCCUGCUGUCCACACAGUUUCUACAGGACAAGAAGUUGUUCUCAACUGCAACAUUCAGAGAUAUGAUAGCGCUUAUGUCAAGUGGUACAAACAGGUUCCUGGUGAAGCUCCUCAGUAUGUUCUUGCAUUUUACUAUGGGAGCAGUUCACUCUACUUUGGAACAGGAUUCUCCUCAGAUCGCUUGAACUCUAAAGCCUCUUCAAACAUAGAUUACCAGUUCAUCAUUAAGCGGGCAGAGGCAGGAGACUCUGCUGUCUAUUACUGUCACACAUGGGACGACUCUGCUAAAGAAGAAGCAUCACAGUGAUUUACACUGUGACAAAAACCUCCUCACUAAACACUUCUGCUUUUUGACCUGCUGACACAUUUUGACUGAGAUUGAAUCCAUCAGGAGAUGUUUUCAGAGACUUGUGAUUAUUUUUCUAAAUAAUAAGAUGUGAUAUUUUAAAUCAUUUUAUUGGAUUCUCACAUCAAUCCACUUAUUUGUCCUAGUGCUAAAAUAAUUAUACACACUAUGUUAUCUGCAGAUGCUUCACCAAAAUAACUACAUAAAUAGAUGAACACACAAAAUGAUUCCUAGAAAAUAUAAACCACUAGAAAACAAAGUUUGUGCUAAAUGUAGUAAAAAUCGAUGUUUUCAGUAAAUAUCCCUUGGCACUCAUGAUAACAGUCAGUUUAUAUAUAGUUUGCUACAAUGUCCUAUUUUGAGAUACAAAGUCAGAUAAUAAAUAAAUCUUUAUUGAUAUAGUUAAAUUGUUGCACAUGUAAUGUGGAAUAUCUGUAAAAUAAUCGACUGAA